ACUCCCCAGGGUAACAUGUAGUUCACCAGAAGAUGCAGACUGUCAGAGACAGUACACCACGACUGUCAGUCGUGAUUUGUCACCUUGCCGUUUGCAGGCCCUGAACUAGUGUUUGGAGAGUCCCGUACGCAGGCAGUAUACUGCCUAAACAGAAUGGAGCGGAGGAUGCAGCGUGACCCUCAACUCAAACAAAUUGGUGAUCGUGUUCGGUGAUCGCCGGGCGGACCUGAAUCGUAACAACUAGAACAGUCUGGGCGCUGGCUAGUGGCAAAGAGACACAGAAGGCUACGCACUUGUGGUAGUAGUCGCAGCUGAGCCUGGAGCACAAGGCCUUCAUCUCGGGGGCAACUGUCUGCAUGGCGAGCGUGCAGUAGAAAUACAGAGAGAACUUGGCCACCAGUGCUGCCUUCAGCUUCAGCAGCCACUGGAACAGUCCGGGCAGCUGGCUAGUCUUCAGGAACGUUGCUCCGAACCCCAGCGUCCACGACUGCCAACAACCACAUGAACUAUUACCCUCCCGCACAACAUUAAAUAAAAUUGAAUUUUCAAUAAAUAUUUUGUGUGUAUUAAA